UUAAUUUUUUAUUUAAUUUAUUUUUUAGUUUUGAUUUUUUUAUUGAAUUAACUUGAUUUUUAGUAAUUUUUAUUGAAAUUAUUAUUUUAUUUAUAGUUUAUUUUACUGUGAAGGAUAAUUAUUUAUUUUAUUUUAAGUAUACUUUUUUUGUAGUACCUUUUGUAUCAGGGUUUAUUAAAUUAAAAUUAUUUAUUUAUAAUUUUCCCGAAACUUAAAGAGCUAUAAUAAUAUGUUAUUUUAUGUAUCAUAAUAAUUGAUAAUAUUAUUAUAGAGGUUAUAUGCUAUUCAAUUUAAGAUAUCUGGUUUUUUGAUAAAUGAAUUUAAUUCAUAAUAAUUUAGUUAUUUCAUAAUUUUAUUUGUUAUAAUUAAAUUAUUUAAUAUUAUUGGGGAUUAGCUCAUUAAUAAUAUUAUAAUUGGUUUAUUUUGAAUUAUUGUAGGCUUAGUAACAGCCAUCAUUUAUUUCGUUAUAGUUUAUAUUCAUUUUAUUUUUAUUUAUUAUUAAUUUAAUUUUUUAUCAAAAUUUGUGGUUUAAUUAUUAAUCUUUAUAAAUAAUGAUAAAAUUAGUAGUUUUUUUAUUUUGAAUAUUGGAACUCGGCAAAUAUUAUCUUCGCCUGUUUAACAAAAACAUGUUCUGAAGUUUUAUAUUUUAGAUUUGACCUGCCCAAUGAUUAAUUAUUGAAUGGCUGCAGUAUUUUAACUGUACAAAGGUAGCAUAAUCAUUUGUCUUUUAAUUGGAGGCUAGAAUGAAUGGUUGGACGAGGGAUAUACUUUCUUUAUUUAAAAUAGAUGAAUUUAAUUUUUUAGUUAAAAAGCUUAAAUUUAAUUGCUAGACGAGAAGACCCUAUAGAAUUUUAUUUUUCUAUUAAUAUUUAUUAUUAUGAUAUUUUUGGAUUUAUAUAUAUUAAUAGAAAAAUUUUGUUGGGGUGACAGUGAAAUUUAAUUAACUUUCAUUAUUUUGAUUUCAUUAAUUAGUGUUUUGUUGAUCCUGUAAUAUGGAUUAUAAGAUUAAAUUACCUUAGGGAUAACAGCGUAAUUCUUUCGGAGAGUUCAUAUCGAUGAAUUGAGUUUGCGACCUCGAUGUUGGAUUAAAAUUAGUGCUGGGUGCAGUAGUUCAGUUGCUAAGUCUGUUCGACUUUUAAAUUUUUACAUGAUCUGAGUUCAAACCGGCGUGAGCCAGGUUGGUUUCUAUCUGCAAUUUUUAUUUAAUAUUUUAGUACGAAAGGACCAUAUAUUUAUAAAAUUUAUUAUUUAUUGAUAACUAUUAA
rnacentral:rRNA from 1 species